UACGGGGGGGGCAAGCGUUGUUCGGAAUUACUGGGCGUAAAGGGCGUGUAGGCGGCCAACUAAGUCCGACGUGAAAUCCCUCGGCUUAACCGGGGAACUGCGUCUGAUACUGGAUGGCUUGAAUCCGGGAGAGGGAUGCGGAAUUCCAGGUGUAGCGGUGAAAUGCGUAGAUAUCUGGAGGAACACCGGUGGCGAAGGCGGCAUCCUGGACCGGCAUUGACGCUGAGGAGCGAAAGCGUGGGGAGCAAACAGG
rnacentral:rRNA from 1 species